rnacentral:rRNA from 1 species
UGCUAGUCGCGCGGGUUUAGACCCGCGGCAUAUAGCUCAGUAACACGUGGCCAAACUACCCUACAGACCGCGAUAACCUCGGGAAACUGAGGCCAAUAGCGGAUAUCACUCUCACGCUGGAGUGCCGAGAGUGAGAAACGUUCCGGCGCUGUAGGAUGUGGCUGCGGCCGAUUAGGUAGAUGGUGGGGUAGCGGCCCACCAUGCCCAUAAUCGGUAUAGGUUGUGACAGCAAGAGCCUAGAGACGGUAUCUGAGACAAGAUACCGGGCCCUACGGGGCGCAGCAGGCGCGAAACCUUUACACUGCACGAGAGUGCGAUAGGGGGACUCCGAGUGCGAGGGCAUAUAGUCCUCGCUUUUCUGAACCGUAAGGUGGUUCAGGAACAAGUGCUGGGCAAGACCGGUGCCAGCCGCCGCGGUAAUACCGGCAGCACGAGUGAUGGCCGAUAUUAUUGGGCCUAAAGCGUCCGUAGCUUGCUGUGUAAGUCCAUUGGGAAAUCCACGCGCUCAACGCGUGGGCGUCCGGUGGAAACUGCACGGCUUGGGGCCGAGAGACUCGACGGGUACGUCCGGGGUAGGAGUGAAAUCCUGUAAUCCUGGACGGACCACCAAUGGGGAAACCACGUCGAGAGACCGGACCCGACAGUGAGGGACGAAAGCCAGGUCUCGAACCGGAUUAGAUACCCGGGUAGUCCUGGCUGUAAACGAUGCUCGCUAGGUAUGUCACGCGCAUGAGCGCUGAUGUGCGUAGUGAGACGAUAGCGAGCGCUGGAAGUACGUCGCAGAUGAACUAAAGAUGGC